rnacentral:lncRNA from 1 species
ACUCAAAAAAUAAAUAAAUACAUAAAUACAUAAAUAAAUAAAAAGAAAAGAAAACUGACCGCAAAAUGGGCUCUUAUUUUGAGCAUGUACAAAACACAGGUAAGUCUGAUGGUCUCGGUACAUGCGAUACUGUUAACAGUUGGAAGAGGGGAGAAACAUUUCUGGAGGUGCUAACUGAAGUGCUUGAAAUACUUUAUGUUAUUUAAUCCUCAUAACCACACUGAAGCAUCGUUGCCCUAGUUAAGCCUCUUCAGCUAAGACUCUUCAGUUGCAAGAAACAGAAACCCAUUUCAGACAGCUUUAAGCCAAACAACAACAACAAAAACAUUUGUUAUAUGGGCGUAAGGUUAUUUCACAGAACCCAAGAGUGAGAAUGCAGCUGGGUCUUCAAGGCUGACCCAAACCAAGUGCUCCUUGAGGAUCUAAAUAUAUUUUUCAUCUCCUAGAUAAACCAUAUUUCUAUAUGUUAAACUGAAUAUUUCAGAGGAAGUCACUAAUAAUAGGUGUCUCGGGGGCUUCCGUGAAGGUUCAGGGCUCUGGACAUUCCCACUCCACUCCUAUCAGAACAGCUCUGUUUUUAUUUGGUUAAUACAUCAGGAUUCUGCCUAAGAGUUCAUUGAGGAAAUAGCACUACAGCACCUCCUCUGGCCAGAUACUGUGCAAAGAAUUACAAAAUAAAUCACAGACGAGUGGAGAAGAUAGGAAAGUAAAUACACUCUAAAACAAUAAAGGAGUACAGUGACAGAAAAACGCACAGAUUAUUAAGGGAACUCAAAGAAAGUCUAGUAAGCCCAGAAAGGGGUAGGGCUUAUGGGAGGUUUCACGGAGUGGAUACCUGGAAAGGGGAGGUAAGGCAGCUCAAAGGACACUGUUGUUCAACGGAGGGAAGCGGAUUCAACAAUUAUACAAUUCGCUGAGUCGGGGCUUUCACUGCGAAAGAACUUGGCUUCGGAUCCGUGAUCAAGGCUGGGAGCUAUGGAGGUGGAUGUGAUUGGCAAAGACCUCUGCUCAGGUCUGCGUCAAACCUUGCUUCGCUCCCAUCCCAUUCUGCGCCAAUAGGGCGCAGUAUCCCAACCAUUCCACUCGGCUAGGAGGGGAUCCUAAGCCUCAAGGUCCGCAUCUCCCGCUGGAGGGACUGAGCAGCCGCACUGGUGUCCCAGAAUAGAUCGUGUUCCCCAGAGGUUGUCAGGUUCCCGCAAUUCGGCGCGGGCGAGGCGGCCAAAGAGAGGGCGCUCAUUGGCUGCCACAGCCCCGGUCCGAGAGGCCGAAGAAGGCUGAUUCGUCACAGGCCGUCAGCGCGGGCCACGCCUAUUUCCUCUCCAGGUUCUAAUUAGGUCAGGGGCCCUACAGCCUCUUGGGUAGUUUGCAAGUGCGUCGCGGAGCCGGCCUCGGAAAUAUGGCGACAGCUUCAGCUUUCAGUGUGAGGGAGCCGAGGGCCCAGCCAAACCCUGCGGGAGGCAAUUCCUGGGCCAGCAGGAGCAUAUCACUGUGACUUACAACCCUUCUCUAGUCUGCUACAAUGGAAUCUUAAACAAGAAAAUUUUAUAUUUUGACUUGCAUCAUUGAGAAAAACACUGCCAACCUGAUCGUGGUUCCUUUGAAGAAUCACUGCAGCAGGUGCGAGAGAGGACUCAUGGAGCUUGCAGAUGAGCUAGCCCAGGUAGGACAUCUGAUGUUGGGACCCUCUUCAGAAGUGAAGCAUAUAUAAUCCCACAUGAAAUCUCUCAAGCCAUUCCAGAAGAAUGUUUUCUCAGAUAAAGGUUAUUUACCUAUUUAUAAUAAUUUAUAAUUUACAAAGCAUAUUCAUAUAUAUGAUCCCAUCUAACUCAUAAAAUUAUAUGAAAUGUAUACUAUCUCCAUUUUACAGAUGGGGAAAUUGAGCCUCAGAGUGAUAAAGUAACUUCCCCAAAGUCAUGUAGCUAGUAAAUGAAAGUGAUGAGACUCACACUAGGUUCUUCUAAGUUUUUAGAGUACUUCGUCCACGGCGCCAAGGUGUCUAGGGCAGAGACACCACAACCUCCUAAGGUAGGUUAUGCCAUUAAUGUUCCACUUGGGUGGGAAUACACACACACCCACACACACACUAUAAUUCACACUUCCUUAUAGUUAUAUUCCUCAUUCUUUGAACUUAAUCCAUGGUAAAGAAUUAUUUAUUAUGGUGGGGUAGAAGGAGACCCUUUGAGAUUUGAAGACACUGAUUAACCAUGUUAGUGUUUUUCCUCAGGCAAAAUAUUCAUGGGCUCUUUUACCAUAACUUGCUGUCCUUAUUUCCUCAUUAAAUUUCAAGUUUCCACAAAAUAAGAAAAGAAACAACUAAAGAAGAAAUUGUUGGAAGGCAUGGAGCAAAGUGUAAGAACAACUAAGUAAACAUGUACAUUUUGCAUUUUUAAAAAAUUCAGUGGCCAUAAUACCACUGGCCAACAGGCUGAUCAAAUAAUCCCUGAAACAAAGAGUUAUAUGUUACGGAGGGGAUUGAAUCAGAAUACAGAAAAGAGAGACUUGAGAGGUUAAGACAAAACAUCCUGGGAAAUACACCUAUUAAAAUAUGGUAACUAGCUGUUCUCCAUUUCUUUCAAGACAGAAUGGGAAAUGGAGGUAAACACAGCAAGAGUAUUAGUCGGUUAGACAACAGGAAUAUUUUGCUGAUUUUUGUUGUUGUUGUUUUGUUUUUGUUUUUGUUUUUGAGACAGUGUCUUGCUGCGACACCCA